UCAUUAACUCAUCUUCGUCACCGCUAAUCUUCGCUUCGCGUCCACAUUUCAUUCUGCACUCUGCACACUUCUCAUUGCGCAAGGUCAGGCCACCUCAAGCACAGCUUCUCCGGUGUCGUUUUUUAUCAUUAACCUAUCUACAUAAGGGUAACUUAAAUUCCUCAACUACUACUUCUACCUCCUAAUACGGCAUCUGCUUUUUUCUGAACAAGUUCUAGAAACUACAACUCUGAAUCCUAGGAUUUUCUCAUCAUUCUACUGUCUACUGUGCUUGUUUUUUUCCUAUUGGAUUCUUCGAGUUUCAGUGAUGAAAAUGUAAUUAUGAAGCUAUGGUUUGAUUAUUAGCUCAGUCUCACUUUGAUUCCCUCGUUUUCUCCGCUGCCAAACAGGUAUUGUAUGGCAUUUUACAUUUUUACCCUUAGAACCCCCUUGUUAGAGGAAAUGAAGUUCAGAUCCAUCUAUAUGUUAUAUAUAUUCUUGUUGGUGUUGUUUUAUACUAUAUUUUGUCGUAUGGUUAGAUUUGGAAUAUGUUUGGAAUGAGAAUGGAAUUUCUUUAUUUGGCAGCUAAUGAUGUUAAGCUAUAAACUAACUUAAGCGGUUAUGCAAAUAUUUUAAUUCCAUCCAAAAUGAUUGGAAAAUGUUUAUUUUUGUUUACUUAGAGGAAAUGAUUUACAACUACUUACUUGUCAUAUUUGGUUUACAAAAAAAUUCAUUCGCAAUUCUACAUUUUUAGUCUCAUAGCAGAAUUUGCAAAUAAACACUAAAUUAGUAAGUCUUAAAUUUUCUCGACUUAAGACUAAAUUAGUUAACUUUGUAAAUGGAUUCUAUAUUUAAUAAUUAGCAUACCCAUCAUUAGGAUCCAUUUAUAAAUAAAUUUUUUGUUCUUGGAGACAAUAGUCUUGGUUAUCCCACUUGUCCCAGUGCCUUUCUAAAUCCACAUAAAAGGAAAUGCUUAAUUUAUCAUCACUCUACAAUAUUGUAAAAAUAAGUUAUGGGUUUAAUGGGGUUUAGUUUUCAGUAGCACGGAAUCUUUUUUUUAGAGUGUGCUGUUUCUUUCAGUGGGAUCAUUGUAGGAAAGAACUGUCAUCUAAUUUGUAUUCAGAAAUUGGUUUUUUUUUUAAGUUGCUGAAGUAUCUUUUGCUUUUAAGAGCAUUAACAAAAUGCCUAUUGUUUUUGUAUUUUCUUCAGUUCCAACUUCCAAGCUAUUGAACUAGUCAGUACAUGGACCUUUUAGCUUAUAAUCAGCCUUUCCUAGCUUAUCAUGUUUAAAUAUUAAAUUUGUUACCACAGUAGUAAAUCUGUUUCUGAUUUCAUUUAGCAACAUCUACAUCCUUUUUAAUAAAACUUCUUUGCAUGCAUAUAUUGUGCCAACUUGUUGCCACAUUGAUCAAUACUUGCUUUCUUCACAUGGUUUUUCUUUAUCCCAGUGAGUCUCUGCCAGGUGUUUCAUGACUUGGAGAUUGCACAAAGAGCUAAUAUUUCACUCCAUUCUGUAGCAUCCUUGUACUAACUGGGAGCUUUGGCAAGUUAUGUCUAUUUGAGACUUUAACAAUCUUGUUAGGUGAUAUCUGAGGAGGUAAGUAUCUAAGGUACUUUCAAAGGGGAGGUUAUAACCAGGUUUAUGAGCAUAUGGAAGUUAGGGGAGCUGUAGGCACUGGUGAUGGAACAGGGGAGCGUGCUUUGACCCCACUGAGGGUGAUAAGGGGUGUUGUGUGUUUAAUAGUGUUAAUUAUAUCAGCAUUUAUGAUGCUAGUAUAUUUUGGCUUUGUGAGUGCUGUCAUACUGCGACUUUUCAGCAUACAUUGGAGCAGGAAAGCCACAUCCUUUUUCUUUGGUGCAUGGCUAGCUCUAUGGCCUUUUCUUUUUGAGAAGAUAAACAAGACCAAGGUCAUUUUUUCUGGUGAAACUAUUCCUGGUAAGGAACGUGUUUUGCUUAUUGCAAACCACAGAACUGAGGUUGACUGGAUGUACUUAUGGGACCUUGCAUGGCGGAAGGGUAGUUUGGGAUACAUAAAAUAUGUCCUUAAGAGUACUUUGAUGAAAUUACCUGUAUUUGGUUGGGCAUUCCACAUUUUGGAGUUCAUCUCAGUAGAGAGGAGGUGGGAAGUUGAUGAAUCAAACAUGCGCCAAAUGCUUUCAAGUUUUAAGGAUCCUCGGGAUCCCCUCUGGCUUGCUCUCUUCCCUGAAGGAACUGAUUUCACGUAAUUUUUUUUUUAAUAUUUCUUUAUAUAUUUUGAUUAUUCUUCAUCCUUUUCUUUGGGGAAUUCAAUUCACCAUCAAUUUUAAAGUGUUUAACAAGUAACACUGAAAUUUCAAAAAUAGGUUUCCUAUGUAUAUCAAUCUUUUUGUGAAUAUUUUUCAGCCACCACAUGCUAUAAUAAAAUGCUUUUUGUUCUUGGCUAUAUUCCUUACGCAAGUUCUUAAUUUUAUUAUUCCUUUUCUUGUGGUCUGUAGUGAGCAGAAGUGCAUACGGAGCCAAAAAUAUGCAGCUGAAAAUGGCUUACCUGUCCUGAACAAUGUGCUGGUCCCAAAAACAAAGGGCUUCUAUGCCUGCUUGGAAGAUCUAAGGGGCUCUCUGGAUGCAGUUUAUGAUGUUACCAUUGGUUACAAACCACGGUGCCCAUCACUAUUGGACAAUGUUUUUGGUGUGAACCCUUCUGAAGUUCAUAUGCAUAUAAAGCGCAUAGCCCUUGAUGAAAUCCCAACAUCUGAAGAAGAAAUUGCUGCGUGGUUGAUGAAGACAUUCGAGCUAAAGGACCAAUUACUUGCUAAUUUUUAUUUACAGGGCCAUUUCCCUGAUCAAGGUACAGAAGGGGACCUUCCAACAUUGAAGUGCUUUGUAAAUUCUGUGGCCGUAAUACUGUUGAUUAGCAUGUGUACAUUUUUCACUUUAUGCUCAUCAAUUUGGUUUAAAAUUUAUGUAACCUUAGUAUGUUGUUAUCUGUCAUCUGCAACCUAUUUCAAUGUUCGUCCGGUGCCACUUCUUGGCUUUUUGAACACUGGCAGGAUUUUUUGAACUUCUAAAUUUAGCAUAUGAGAAUUCUCCAAGGUGAAUUCCAUAUUGCACACAUUUUUCGUGUCUUUGGCCGCUAGAGAUGUGCUAGUGCUCCUUUAAACUAACCAGCAUAUUUAUUUGUAAGGUUCUGGCAUUUUUAGAGACUGCCCUGGCAUUUUUAGAGACUGCUUAUGAACGGUCUUCUGUUUGAUGGAACGUAUUUCAUGUGUCAAGCGGUUGUGUUAUUGUUAUAGGACUUACUGGCUAUGUAUAAUUAAAAUAUAUCUC
rnacentral:misc_RNA from 1 species